AUUGAACGCUGGCGGCAGGCCUAACACAUGCAAGUCGAGCGGAGCGGGGGACGGGCGAGUAAUGCCUAGGCAUCUGCCUGGCAGUGGGGGUAAACGUCCGGAAACUGGCGCUAGUACCACAUACUAUCAGACGAGCCAGGGUCGGAUUGGCUAGGUGGUGGGGUAAGGGCCGACCAAGGCGACGAUCGGUAACUGGUCUGAGAGGAUGAUCAGUCACACUGGAACGGACACAGGGACCAGCCUCAUACGGAAGGGAGCAGUGGGGAAUAUUGAACAAUGGGCGAAAGCCUGAUCCAACCAUCCAGGGUGUGUGAAGGAGGUCGUCGGAUUGUAAAGCACUUUAAGUUGGGAGGCGUUACCAACAAAAUAAGCACCGGCAAACUUCGUGCCAGCAGCCGCGUAAUAC
rnacentral:rRNA from 1 species